UAAUGUAGAAAAUGUGGCAUACUUCAU
rnacentral:piRNA from 1 species